UUCCCAAAGGUAAGACGAAGACAACAAUAUUGUGCGCCUCAAAGCAUUCUCAUUAGAAUUAAAUACAAUCAUCUGCUUAUACCACCAAGCACAGUGCCUGGAAAUAAGAAAAGGGAUCAGAGAAGAAGGACAGAGAGUGACCAGGUCCAUGCUCAUGAUGAGAUGGUGUGAACCCAACAGUGUAAUUAAUUCAACCAUAUGCACGUGAGAUCAAGGACAGCAAGAAGGCAAAGGAGCUUUAGUCCAUGGACUUUGAUGUUGUGUCUCCCUGUUCAGCAUCUUUCAACAUAUUUCCUCAUGUUCCACUGUGUCUGAUUAGAUGUGUUUGCUGGACAGCCAAGUUGCAGAUGAAAGGAGUAGCAAACAAAAAGAAGCUGAGGCACUUAUAUAUAUGCAUAGAAAUAAACCCACAAACUAAAGGGACUUUUGAGGCUCUUUAGGUCAACCCUCUGAGGUUGGAGAGGGUAAGUGGUCUGCUCAAAGUAAUGUAGCUAAGAAGACACCAAGCCAGGACUGGAAUCUGAAGGCAUCUUAGGGUACCUCCCAAGUACAUCAGACUGCAAGAGGCUUGAGAUAAUAAUAGCGAUGCUACCUUAUUUUAUAUCUUAUGUCCAAUGAAAAAUGAAAGAGAAGAUUCUAUGCAGGCACCUUUUGAAGUUCAACUCACAAUAGGCCUUACACUUUAAAUGGGUCACUCUGUAUCACCAUGGUGAUUCUUCCAAGUUCUCCUGGAAUCAUCAGCUGUUUUCUAAUGAGGGCACUCCCCAGAACUUGCAGCUCCACCAAACAGAUGAACGUUUCCUGGUAGAAAAUGCUUAGUGCCUUAAGCAGCUUCAUCAGCAAUUACUUUUUCUUCUCCACUUCCUAGGGAAAUGAAUCUAAAACAUGCACCUACAUUUGCUUUAGAUGUCAUAGAGUUCUUUAAAAACCUCUUGAUUCUACUGAUGGCAACUCUGAUUUCCUGGGUGUUGUGUGAUUUAUAUGUUGAAAAACAGCCACCUUCUUUUAACUGAGCAGAAGUCCCUGAAUUGACCUCUGAUCUAGACUUAACCCCCUUAAAGGCAAGGAUUAUAUCCUAACCAUAUUAAAAAUUCAGAAUCUGACACAAAACUUGGCACACGAUGAGGAAUGGAGACUUGGCGUGGUUCUAUAAUUUGCCAAGAUUUUACAACCAAUCAAUGAAUGAAGAGAUAAAUAAAUAAGUAAACAAGAAUUAAACAGGAUGGUUUUUCAAUGCCGAAAUUCUUUUUAUCCAAAGGAAGCAGAGUAACCAUUUUCCUGGAAAAGGGAUUCUCUGAGGUAAGGCUCCCGAAAUUUAGGGAAAGAUAGAGAAACGGAAGUUCAGAAUCAUUAAGUAACCUGCUCAAGUUCAUAGCUAACUGACGCAGAACUCAGGAGUCAUGGUAACCCUUCUGAGGACCUGUCCACAGAACACACCUACGUCCAAGAUUGCAGACUUUCUAGCAUUUUGCCUACAUCAUUUUGAAUCCCUUUACUCAUUGUUUGUGACUUUGGCUAACCGAGAUUCCACCUUGAUUUCCUACACAAUCCAUGAUCGGGGCAGGAAGAAUAAUGCCUCUGUUUUUCCCUGUUGUCUUUUCUUCAUUCCUACCUGCCCCCCACCCUUUCUCUUCUAAGAAUAAAGGCACAGGGGGUAGAAGGGCUUGGUGUAUCCCACAUUUUUUAACAUCUUGGAUUUCUAAUCCAGCAAUAAAAGUAUUAAUGCUGUAUAUAAAGAAAAUAAUAGCAUGAAGGAAGGGGCCCGUCAUACUCUUAGAAAACAUAAAAGCCAAGCCCAACCACAGGUACACUCUGUAAGAACUCUGACAAUCUUCCAAAAAGCAGUCAAGGUUGGAUCAAUUCUUCAUUCUAUUUCAUGGAAAAGAAAAAGAAAAAAAAAAAAAAAACCUA